GAUUCCCUUAGUAACUGCGAGUGAAGUGGGAAAAGCUCAAAUUUGGAAUCUGGCAGUCCUUGGCUGUCCGAAUUGUAAUCUAGAGAAGUGUUACCUGUGCUGGACCGUGUAAAAGUCUUCUGGAAUGGAGCAUCACAGAGGGUGAGAAUCCCGUCUUUGACAUGGACUGCCAGUGCAUAAUGGUGUGCUCUCAAAGAGUCGAGUUGUUUGGGAAUGCAGCUCAAAAUGGGUGGUAAAUGCCAUCUAAAGCUAAAUAUUGGCGAGAGACCGAUAGUGAACAAGUACCGUGAGGGAAAGAUGAAAAGAACUUUGGAAAGAGAGUUAAACAGUAUGUGAAAUUGCUGAAAGGGAAACGCUUGAAGUCAGUCGUGUUGGCUGGAAAUCAGCCUUGCUUUUGCGUGGUGUAUUUUCUUGUCGACAGGUCAGCAUCAAUUUUGAUCGUUGGACAAAGUCUUUGGGAAUGUGGCAUCUUUUUGGAUGUGUUAUAGCCCAUUGUCGUAUACAGCGAUGGAGAUUGAGGAACUCAGCACACCGCGAGGCCGGGUCUCUUGACCACGUUUGUGCUUAGGAUGCUGACAUAAUGGCUUUAAUCGACCCGUCUUGAAACACGGACCAAGGAGUCUAACAUGCCUGCAAGUGUUUGGGUGGAAAACCCAUGCGCGCAAUG
rnacentral:rRNA from 1 species